AGCGGCGGACGGGUGAGUAACGCGUGGGCAACCUGCCUCACACAGGGGAGUAACAGUUAGAAAUGACUGCUAAUACCGCAUAAGACCACGAAACCGCAUGGUUUGAGGUAAAAACUCCGGUGGUGUGAGAUGGGCCCGCGUCUGAUUAGGUAGUUGGUGCGGUAACGGCGCACCAAGCCGACGAUCAGUAGCCGACCUGAGAGGGUGACCGGCCACAUUGGGACUGAGACACGGCCCAAACUCCUACGGGAGGCAGCAUG
rnacentral:rRNA from 1 species